UUUCAGAGGUUGUAAAUUAAUAAUCCACCAGUGCGGUAUGUGAAAAAUGUGUCUAGACAAGAUGAUGGUGAGCUUGUGACCCGGAUGGAUGAAUGAUGGAAAGACAAAUAAUAAGUGCUGUAUACAGUAUUUGGUAUAAAUCAGUCAUUGAAAGUCAUUACAGCUGAAGAUUUUAAUGACGCUCUGUACCGGUACUAACAAUGUUGAUUACAGUCAAUGGAAGGUUAAUCAAACCUAUGAAUGUGGUCGAAUAAGGUGUGGAGUUGAUUAAUAGCAACAUUGAAUGUGGGUUGAAUAUGGUGUGUUAAAGAUGCAAGAAAACACACGAAAUGUGUAAACUGUAAUGGAUUAUAGCCUGGCGCUAUCCAAAUUACAAAACACCUGCCCUUGAGUCUAUGAAUAUUUAUUUUUUAUGGCACCCACAUUUUCAUGUCGCUGCCUCUGUCCGUCCAGAUGUACCUCCGGUGAAAUUUGUUUGUGGUCACAAUUAUCCGAUUUGAAUGAAAUUUAAAUGUAUAUUUAUAUUCAAAUCAUCUGGGAUCGGAUUCAUUUUGAACUCUAACCUCAUGGAUUAUGGCCCCUUAUAUUGUGGAAAAAUUGGGUUUUUAGCAUGUGGGCACAUCCAGAGGAUU